rnacentral:lncRNA from 1 species
GCCACAAAACCACAACCCGAAGCCACAGAAUCAUCUCGAGUUCUGUGGAAGCAUAAUGCUUAGAGACUGCAUUGCACUGUGGGCUUGGGAUAACUGCAAGAUUUGAGGGACUUUGCACAGCUUUGGCAAUUAAGGAAAAUGGAGUAACUGCCAAGGUGGUGUGGGACCAGUAUAAGGGAAAUGGAAGAAACUUGAAGCCACAUGUCUACAGCAGUGUCCUGGCAGACAGGAAUAAAUGGACACACUUUCCAAGGUCACGAGAAAGACUUUCUAAAAUGGUGGCCCAUUAAAGCAACGAUACUGUUGUAAGCAAG